UGAGGAAUAUUGGACAAUGGGCGCAAGCCUGAUCCAGCCAUGCCGCGUGCAGGAAGACUGCCCUAUGGGUUGUAAACUGCUUUUAUACGGGAAGAAACACUCCUACGUGUAGGAAUUUGACGGUACCGUAAGAAUAAGCACCGGCUAACUCCGUGCCAGCAGCCGCGGUAAUACGGAGGGUGCAAGCGUUAUCCGGAAUCAUUGGGUUUAAAGGGUCCGCAGGCGGUCAAUUAAGUCAGAGGUGAAAUCCCACAGCUUAACUGUGGAACUGCCUUUGAUACUGGUUGACUUGAGUUAUAUGGAAGUAGAUAGAAUGUGUAGUGUAGCGGUGAAAUGCAUAGAUAUUACACAGAAUACCGAUUGCGAAGGCAGUCUACUACGUAUAUACUGACGCUCAUGGACGAAAGCGUGGGGAGCGAACAGG
rnacentral:rRNA from 1 species